AGGACGAACGCUGGCGGCGUGCUUAACACAUGCAAGUCGAACGGAAAGGCCCGCUUGCGGGUACUCGAGUGGCGAACGGGUGAGUAACACGUGGGCAACCUGCCCUCAGCUUCGGGAUAACUCUCGGAAACGGGUGCUAAUACCGAAUGUUGACAUUUCCUCGCAUGGGGUUGUGUUGAAAGUUUUUCGGCUGGGGAUGGGCCCGCGGCCUAUCAGCUUGUUGGUGGGGUGAUGGCCUACCAAGGCGACGACGGGUAGCCGGCCUGAGAGGGCGAUCGGCCACACUGGAACUGAGACACGGUCCAGACUCCUACGGGAGGCAGCAGUGGGGAAUAUUGCGCAAUGGGCGGAAGCCUGACGCAGCGACGCCGCGUGAGGGAUGAAGGUCUUCGGAUUGUAAACCUCUUUCAGUAGGGACGAAUUAAGACGGUACCUGCAGAAGAAGCACCGGCUAACUACGCGCCAGCAGCCGC
rnacentral:rRNA from 1 species